rnacentral:rRNA from 1 species
AUUGAACGCUGGCGGCAUGCCUUACACAUGCAAGUCGAACGGUAACGGGCCUUCGGGUGCCGACGAGUGGCGAACGGGUGAGUAAUGUAUCGGAACGUACCUUUCAGUGGGGGAUAACGUAGCGAAAGUUACGCUAAUACCGCAUAUUCUGUGAGCAGGAAAGCAGGGGAUCGCAAGACCUUGCGCUUAUUGGGCGGCCGAUAUCAGAUUAGCUAGUUGGUGAGGUAAAGGCUCACCAAGGCGACGAUCUGUAGCGGGUCUGAGAGGAUGAUCCGCCACACUGGAACUGAGACACGGUCCAGACUCCUACGGGAGGCAGCAGUGGGGAAUAUUGCACAAUGGACGAAAGUCUGAUGCAGCGACGCCGCGUGAGGGAUGAAGGCCUUCGGGUUGUAAACCUUUUUCGCUUUUGACCAAGGCAGCAUUUUGGUGUUGUUGAGGGUAUGAGGUAAAGAAGCUCCGGCUAACUACGUGCCAGCAGCCGCAGUAACAC